UGGCAUUCCUGAAGGAUGUGCUAUUGAUCAUUCGCAAAUCAGUUCACCGAGAGUGCAAGAUUUCUCAAGAGGGAUUAAUUUUGAGAAACAUUCCCUUGACAGCGACAUAAUAAUUACUCCUUCUUCAAGAUUGUCAGUUAGCUCACUGAUAGAUAGUAGAUUUAUUAGAAUUUUUAACCCCUGAUGCUAGUGGAAUGUCUGGCAUUCCUGAAGGAUGUGCUAUUGAUCAUUCGCAAUUCAGUUCACCGAGAGUGCAAGAUUUCUCAAGAGGGAUUAAUUUUGAGAAACAUUCCCUUGACAGCGACAUAAUGAUUACUCCUUCUUCAAGAUUGUCAGUUAGCUCACUGAUAGAUAGUAGAUUUAUUAGAAUUUUUAACCCCUGAUGCUAGUGGAAUGUCUGGCAUUCCUGAAGGAUGUGCUAUUGAUCAUUCGCAAAUCAGUUCACCGAGAGUGCAAGAUUUUUCAAGAGGGAUUAAUUUUGAGAAACAUUCCCUUGACAGCGACAUAAUAAUUACUCCUUUACUUAUGGUGGUGAUUUGUUGCAAAGGGAAAGUGAAGGUAUAUUUUAUGCGAUAUACGCAACUUCCUGGUUUACGCUUCCUUUAACGCUGAUGAAGGACAUUCACUUCGCAAUAAUGAAGUCAAGCAUUCCGUUUCGGUUAACUGGUGGAAAAUUUUUCUACGUUAAUCGCGAAACAAUGAUGAACAUCCUCAAGACAACAUAUUCUUAUAUUUCUGUUCUACGUAUAGCACUACUAACAAAAUAAUUUUGAAUUCGAGUGAAAAUGCGAUGCGUACAUUUCAAUAUGUGUCAGUUUGUGUGUGAAUAUGUUUGUAUGUAUAUGAUAAGAUUUAAAGUAUGCAGAAAGCAAUAUUAUAUAAAAAUUCAUAUUCAUAAAGAAUGCAAAUAUUUAAUUAAAGUAUUUUGAGACAUACACUUCUCCAUGCAGUAAUUUAAAUAUUUUAAAAUUAUUUAGUUGCAUCAAUAGUCUUAUAUCGAUAACGUAUUUUGCUUAUAUUUAUGUGAUAUUGGAUCUUACAUCAAGUAGAAAGUAUUAUAUAUAUUUAUUAAAAUUAAUAAAUUCAUUAAAAUAUUACAGCAAUGUCAACCUUUUACGCACAGAUGAUUA